rnacentral:rRNA from 1 species
AUUGAACGCUGGCGGCAGGCCUAACACAUGCAAGUCGAACGAGUGGCGGACGGGUGAGUAAUGUCUGGGAAACUGCCUGAUGGAGGGGGAUAACUACUGGAAACGGUAGCUAAUACCGCAUACCAUCGGAUGUGCCCAGAUGGGAUUAGCUAGUAGGUGGGGUAAAGGCUCACCUAGGCGACGAGCCCUAGCUGGUCUGAGAGGAUGACCGGCGAGCGUGGGACUGAGACACGGUCCAGACUCCUACGGGAGGCAGGAGUGGGGAAUAUUGCACAAUGGGCGCGAGCCUGAUGCAGCCAUGCCGCGUGGAGGAAGAAGGCCUUCGGGUUGUGAAGUACUUUCAGCGGGGAGGCGUUACCCGCAGAAGAAGCGCCGGCUAACUCCGUGCCAGCAGCCGCGGUAAUUC